GUCUACAGCCAUGCCAACCUGAACACACCCGAUCUUGUCUGAUCUCAGAAGCUAAGCAGGGUCGUGCCUGGUUAUUACUUGGAUGGGAGACCACCUAGGAAGACCGGGUGCAGUAGGGG
rnacentral:rRNA from 1 species